AGCGGCGGACGGGUGAGUAAUGUAUGGGGACUGCCCGAUAGAGGGGGAUAACUCCUGGCAACGGUGGCUAAUCCCGCAUACUCUCUGAUACCCCAUAUGGGAUUAGCUAGUAGGUGGGGUAAAGGCUCACCUAGGCGACGAUGUCUAGAUGGUCUGAGAGGAUGAUCAGCCACACUGGUACUGAGACACGGCAAAGACUCCUACGGCGGGAGCAGUGGGAAAUAGUGCAAAAUGGGCGUAAGCAGGAUGAAGCGAUGCCUCUUGUAUGAAUAAGGCCUUAGGGUUUUAAAUGACGUUCAGCGGGGAGGCGUUACACGCAGAAGAAUCACCGGCUAACUCCGUGCCAGCAGACGCGGUAAUAC
rnacentral:rRNA from 1 species